rnacentral:rRNA from 1 species
AUGGCAGUUGAAAAUUUCAUGAUGCAUGGACCAUGUGGCCAGGCAUGCUACAAGUCACCAUGCAUGAUCAAUGGGAAGUGCUCAAAACAUUUCCCUAAGAUGUUUUGUGCGGAAUCAAGCAUCGAUGAAGAAGGAUUCCCAAUAUACAGAAGAAGAAAUAAUGCCAGGACUAUAGAAAAAAGUGGAGUACAGCUAGAUAGCAGGUAUGUUGUUCCAUACAACAGGGACCUAAUUGUCAAGUACCAGGCCCAUAUAAACGUGGAAUGGUGUAACAAAUCAAGAUCCAUAAAGUAUUUGUUCAAGUACAUCCAUAAAGGAGAGGAUAGAGCAACUGUAAUUUUGGGUGCAGGAAAUAACUAUGACGAGAUACAAAUUUACCUUGAUGCACGAUACCUAUCGGCUGGUGUAGCAUCUUGGCGUAUCUUUGGAUUUGAACUUCAGCACCGGCAGCCUUCUAUACAGAGACUGCAAUUCCACCUUCAAGAUGAGCAAAUGGUCGUGUUCCCGGACUCAACUGAUAUUGAUAAAAUUGUACAUAGACCUGGCAUAGAGGAAACAAUUUUUACCGAAUGGAUGACCGCUAAUAAAUUGUAUGAGGAGGCCCGUAAUCUAACAUAUGCAGAAUUCCCCAUUAAGUAG